rnacentral:lncRNA from 1 species
CUCCUCUCUCUCCCCAGGGGUAACAGCUUCUCUCUCCCCAGGGGUAGCAGCUCCUCUUUCUCCAGGGGUAGCAGCUCCUCUCUCCCCAGGGGUAGCAGCUCCUCUCUUCCCAGGGGUAGCAGCUCCUCUCUAACCAGGGGUAGCAGCUCCUUUCUCCCCAGGGGUAGCAACUCUUCUCUAUCGAGGGGCAGCAGCUACUCUCUCUCCCAGGGGUAGCAGCUCUUCUCUCUCCAGGGGUAGCAGCUCCUCUCUCCCCAGGGGCAGCAGCUCCUCUCUCCUCAGGGGUAGCAGCUCCAUUCUCUCCCCAGGGGUAGCAACUCUUCUCUAUCGAGGGGCAGCAGCUCCUCUCUCUCCCCAGGGGUAGCAGCUCUUCUCUCUCCAGGGGUAGCAGCUCCUCUCUCCCCAGGGGCAGCAGCUCCUCUCUCCUCAGGGGUAGGAGCUCCUCUCUCUCCCCAGGGGUAGCAGCUCCUCUCUCUCCAGGGGCAGCAGCUCCUCUCUCUCCCCAGGGGCAGCAGCUCUUCUCUCUCCCCAGGGGUAGCAGCUCCUCUCUCUCCCCAGGGGUAGCAGCUCUUCUCUCUCCAGGGGCAGCAGCUCCUCUCCAAAGGGGUAGCAGCUCCUCUCUCCUCAGGGGUAGCAGCUCCUCUCUCCCCAGGGGUAGCAGCUCCUCUCUCCUCAGGGGUAGCAGCUCCUCUCUCCCCAGGGGUAGCAGCUCCUCUCUCCUCAGGGGUAGCAGCUCCUCUAUCCCCAGGGGUAGCAGCUCCUCUCUCCUCUAGGAUUUGAAGACAUUGGUGGCUUAGCCCAUAGCCAGUAGGGGGGUGCAGGAAGGAAUUUUAACAGCUAAAUCCAUGAAUACAACACCAGUGUAUUACCAAAAACCACUCAAGAACUUCAAACAUAAACCCUGACCUUGCCAUUGAGCCAAUCUGUCUCUUUCCAUCAUAUCCUAUUCUUCCCUAUUCUUCUGUUGCUGUCUCUAUGUCUUGUCUGGUGUCUCUUUCCAUCACAUUCUCCUGUUGCUGUCUCUAUGUCUUGUCUGGUGUCUCUUUCCAUCACAUUCUCCUGUUGCUGUCUCUAUGUCUUGUCUGGUGUCUCUUUCCAUCAUAUCAUAUUCUUCUGUUGCUGUCUGUGUGUCUUGUCUGGUGUCUCUCUCCAUCAUAUUCUUCUGUUGCUGUCUCUAUGUCUUGUCUGGUGUCUCUCUCCAUCAUAUACAAUGUUUCUGUUGCUGUCUCUAUGUCUUGUCUGGUGUCUCUUUCCAUAUAUACAAUUCUUCUGUUGCUGUCUCUAUGUCUUGUCUGGUGUCUCUUUCCAUCACAUUCUCCUGUUGCUGUCUCUAUGUCUUGUCUGGUGUCUCUUUCCAUCAUAUUCUUCUGUUGCUGUCUCUGUGUCUUGUCUGGUGUCUUUCUCCAUCAUAUACAAUUCUUCUGUUGCUGUCUCUGUGUCUUGUCUGGUGUCUCUCUCCAUCAUUCUUCUGUUGCUGUCUCUAUGUCUUGUCUGGUGUCUCUCUCCAUCAUAUCCUAUUAUUCUGUUGCUGUCUCUAUGUGUUGUCUGGUGUCUCUUUCCAUCAUAUCCUAUUAUUCUGUUGUCUCCGUGGCAAUACUUUGAGAAUAAAGUGGCAGUAUUGCGAGAAUAAACUCUACACUUAAUUUUUUGAAUAAAGUAUGUUAUAUUUCAAGAUGAAUGAGGGGAUGUGUUUAAGUGCAUGUCUCCCUGACUACCUGUUGCUGUGCCACUGUUGAAAUGCCUCAGUAGAUGUCCUGGUGAAACUAUAAUAAAGUCUGUUAUAUUUCUAGAUUAAUUUAGGGGAUGUGUUUAAGUGUCUC